rnacentral:rRNA from 1 species
AUACGGAGGGUGCAAGCGUUAAUCGGAAUUACUGGGCGUAAAGCGUACGUAGGCGGUCCGUUAAGUUAGAUGUGAAAGCCCCGGGCUUAACCUGGGAACUGCAUUUAAAACUGGCGGACUGGAGUUGAGUAGAGGGGAGUGGAAUUUCAGGUGUAGCGGUGAAAUGCGUAGAGAUCUGAAGGAACACCAGUGGCGAAGGCGACUCCCUGGACUCGAACUGACGCUGAGGUACGAAAGCGUGGGUAGCAAACGGGAUUAGAAACCCGAGUAGUCC